CGAAAGCCUGACGGAGCAAUACCGCGUGAGGGAGGAAGGCUCUUGGGUCGUAAACCUCUUUUCUCAGGGAAGAACACAAUGACGGUAUCUGAGGAAUAAGCAUCGGCUAACUCCGUGCCAGCAGCCGCGGUAAUACGGAGGAUGCAAGCGUUAUCCGGAAUGAUUGGGCGUAAAGCGUCCGCAGGUGGCUGUGUAAGUCUGCUGUUAAAGAGUCUAGCUCAACUAGAUAAGAGCAGUGGAAACUACACGGCUAGAGUACGUUCGGGGCAGAGGGAAUUCCUGGUGUAGCGGUGAAAUGCGUAGAGAUCAGGAAGAACACCGGUGGCGAAGGCGCUCUGCUAGGCCGUGACUGACACUGAGGGACGAAAGCUAGGGGAGCG
rnacentral:rRNA from 1 species